ACCUGCAACAGCAAUGCGUUGGAUUAGCUCUGACUAGCUAGAGAUGGGAAGAGACAAAAGCGAAAGAAGCUCAUCAGGUUCUGUAAGCAGGUCUCAAGGACACAGAAAUUUGGAGGGUGUUAAAUCACGCCAUUCGCCUAAGACGAGUUUGAAUCAAGGCAAAGCAAGUGAGAGAUCAAAAACAUUAGUCUCGGGAAAGAUCCAACGCUGUUUGAAAUCUGUUUCUGAUAUUAAGUCAAUUAAGAAGAUUCUUAAUCCACUGGGACCAUUUUCAAGUUGGUGGGAUACAUUAUUUCUACUGUCAAGUGUGAUUGCCAUCUCACUAGAUCCUUUGUUUUUCUACCUCCCCGUCGUCAAUGAAGACAAAAAGUGCCUUUUCAUGGACAGAAAGUUGGGGAUUGCAGCAAUGGUAUUGCGUUCACUCUUGGACGGCCUUUAUAUAAUAUACGUCACUUGUCGAGUUUUAUCUCCUUGUGCAAAUAAAAGGGGUAAUUCAUCAAGAGAUGCUUGGGCUAUAGCAAGGGGAUAUUUCCUGUUACGCCUCUUUCUAAUUGACAUCAUUUCGGUUCUUCCACUGCCACAGAUAGUUGUUUUGGUUAUCAUUCCAAUGAUGAGAGAUGUGAGAUUUUUGGAUGCUAUGAACUUGUUGACAAUUGUUGUCUUCUGCCAAUCCAUUCCAAGAAUUUUUCGGAUCUACCAGUUGUUCAAGAGAGACAAAAGAACUUCAGCCACACUAGCUGAAGCUACAUGGGCUAAAGCUGCAUGCAAUCUCUUUCUUUACAUGCUUGCCGGUCAUAUAAGUUAACUGACUCCCACAUCCAGUUACAUGAUUUGUUUAUAUAUUGCAUAGCUCUCAGGACUUGGCCGGGCAUGAUCUAAUUUGAAAGGCAUAUAUGUUUGAGCAAUGCUCAAAGUCAAACAAAUUCGCACAUCCUAAGUUAUUUUAUGGUAACUUAUUUUCGAUUAAAAUCAUCAAGUGGCUUGCUCAUCUUUUAGGCACUGGGAGCUCUGUGGUACAUUUUGGCCAUAGAACGAGAGACUACAUGCUGGAAAAAGGCUUGCGCAAAUCACAUUGAAUGUGUCAAUGGAUCAUUUUACUGCAAUGACAGUCUCGGAAACCAUACAUUUAUAAAUGAUUCUUGCCCUAUAAGUACGCCAAAUACCAAACUCUUUGAUUUUGGAAUAUUCCUUGAUGCUUUACAGUCUGGUGUUUUGGAAGUGGUGAAUUUUCCACAGAAGUUUUUUCACUGUUUCCAUUGGGGUCUACAAAAUCUGAGUUGUUUCGGGCAAAAUCUGCGCACAAGUACCUGUAUUUGGGAGAACUGUUUUGCACUAUUUAUUACCGUCUCCGGUUUACUUCUAUUUUUAUCUCUGAUUGGGAAUGUGCAGGUUUGGCAACUCUUAGUUUACUUCAAAAUUUUUUCAGUGAACAUUGAAGACACCAUUUAAAUCGGAAAAAAUCAAUUUAUUUUCAAUUGUUGUUAAAUAUGUGUCAUGCUCGGGCUGCUGAUUUUUUGCAUCAAACCUCUGCUUUCACUACUAGCAAUAUGCAGUCAUGCAUUCCUUGAGCUUUCGCAAUCUCUGUCAGUGUAUACUGUUAAUGUUCUGUUAUCCGAAGCCAUGCAUAAUUCAUAGUGAAGCAAAAUGGUAUUCAUAUCCUGCUUUAAGGGAAGCUGGCUGUGUUCACUAGUCUUGUCAGCACAUUCCAACUCUCACUUCGUCCCAGACAAUUUUCUGCAUGGAAAUCAAAUAUUACUUGAAGAAACUACAUGAUAUUGCUGUUUGUAUUCUAACUGAUCAGUGAGUUUGGAUUAAGUAAGAGUUUUGGUGUAGACUCUAAAAAGCAUGGACUCUUUUUCUUGAUGGCAAUAAUAAUCCAGAAUUUGCUGAACUGUUUCCUUUUUGUGAAACAGAUUUAUCUGCAGUCCAAAACCCUCAAAUUGGAAGAGUUGCGACUAAGAAACCGAGAGAUAGAGCAGUGGAAGUCGUUUAAGAAACUUCCCUAUAAACUCCAACGGCAAAUUAAACAAUAUCAGAGAUACAAAUGGCAAGAAAGCAGAGGUGUUGAUGUGGAGAAUCUUCUAAAAAAUUUUCCCAAGGAAAUCAUAAUGAAUAUCAAGAGUGAACUCUUCUUGAAGCGGCUCACGAAGGUAAGUUCCUUCUGUUUACAAAGAACAGAUUAGCUGCUCAUUACAAAUUAUUAAUCCUCUACUAUAGAUGAAUUCAUUCUCAUUCUAGUCAUUUAACUAUGGUAAGGUGAAACGAUUUAAUUUUCUGGGCGAUCGAGCGUUGAAUGAACUCUGUUACUAUGCGAAGCCUGUGCUCUUCAUUAAGCGCAGUUACAUUACAAAGGAGGGAGACCCAAUCGAUAAAAUGCUAUUUAUUGUGCAAGGAAAACUAAGGACAUAUUCAAGCAGCAAUAAAACAUCAGAGUCUGAUGAUACUGCUUACCUACAAGAUGGUGAUUUCUGUGGAGAAGAACUGCUAGAAGAAUGGCACCCGUUCCAGUCACGGCACUUUCCCAUCUCUAAAAGAAAUAUUCAAGCACUUACUAAAGUGGAAGCGUUUUCUUUAUCUGCUGAUGACUGGAAAAACCUUUGCAUUUGGGAAGUCAGGAAAUUACAAUUUUUCCGUCGCAACCAUCGCCGAAGGAGAGAGUAUGAUCAUCUUCUGGAUAUUAAAAUAGCUGGAGGAGUUGAUAACAUUUCAGCCUCGGGUAACACUAGCAUCGACGCCUCGAGUCCUGAUAAUAGUGCACUUGAAACUAUGCAACUUAUUAAUUCACGCCUGUCAGCUGGAUCACCAAGGCCGGAACCAUUGGCCAUUCGUGAGGAAGAAGAACAGUAGAUUGGCAGAGAACUUGUUAACACUUUUUAGAUACUGUAAUCAGCAUCGUGUUGUUACAAGCUCUGUUUCGAGGAUGUUCUGACAUGGGAACUUCUAGUUUCACGGGAAAUU